rnacentral:rRNA from 1 species
UACGAGGGGGCAAAUGUUGUUCGGAAUCACUGGGCGUAAAGGGAGCGUAGGCGGGUUUCUAAGUCAGGUGUUUGAAUCCCGGGGCCCAACCCCGGACAGGCACUUGAAACUGGGAAUCUUGAAUAGUGGAGGAGGUCAGUGGAAUUGGGGUGAGCGGUGGAAUGCGUAGAGAUCCCCAAGAACACCAGUUGCGAAGGCGGCUGACUGGACACAGUAUUGACGCUGAGGCUCGAAAGCAUGGGGAGCAACAGG